CCUACGGGGGGCAGCAGUCGAGAAUUAUUCACAAUGGGGGAAACCCUGAUGGUGCGACGCCGCGUGGGGGAAUGAAGGUCUUCGGAUUGUAAACCCCUGUCAUGUGGGAGCAAAUUAAAAAGAUAGUACCACAAGAGGAAGAGACGGCUAACUCUGUGCCAGCAGCCGCGGUAAUACAGAGGUCUCAAGCGUUGUUCGGAAUCACUGGGCGUAAAGCGUGCGUAGGCUGUUUCGUAAGUCGUGUGUGAAAGGCGCGGGCUCAACCCGCGGACGGCACAUGAUACUGCGAGACUAGAGUGAUGGAGGGGGAACCGGAAUUCUCGGUGUAGCAGUGAAAUGCGUAGAUAUCGAGAGGAACACUCGUGGCGAAGGCGGGUUCCUGGACAUUAACUGACGCUGAGGCACGAAGGCCAGGGGAGCGAAAGGGAUUAGAUACCCCUGUAGUC
rnacentral:rRNA from 1 species